rnacentral:rRNA from 1 species
UACGUAGGGUGCAAGCGUUAAUCGGAAUUACUGGGCGUAAAGCGUACGCAGGCGGCUUUGCAAGACAGGUGUGAAAUCCCCGGGCUCAACCCGGGAACUGCGUCCGAUACUGGGAGGCUUGAAUCCGGGAGAGGGAUGUGGAAUUCCAGGUGUAGCGGUGAAAUGCGUAGAUACCUGGAGGAACACCGGUGGCGAAGGCGGCAUCCUGGACCGGUAUUGACGCUGAGGCGCGAAAGCCAGGGGAGCAAACGGG